rnacentral:rRNA from 1 species
GACAGAGGGGGCAAGCGUUGCUCGGAAUUACUGGGCGUAAAGGGCGCGUAGGCGGAAUGGCAAGUCGGUCGUGAAAUCCUUCGGCUCAACCGAAGAACGUCGAUCGAAACUGCCGUUCUUGAGGAUUGCAGAGGAGACUGGAAUUCCCGGUGUAGCGGUGAAAUGCGUAGAGAUCGGAAGGAACAUCAGUGGCGAAGGCGGCUACCUGGACUGACAUUGACGCUGAGGCGCGAGAGCGUGGGGAGCGAACAGG